rnacentral:rRNA from 1 species
UACAGAGGGUGCGAGCGUUAAUCGGAAUUACUGGGCGUAAAGCGCGCGUAGGCGGCUUUGCAAGUCGGGUGUGAAAUCCCCAGGCUUAACCUGGGAACUGCAUUCGAGACUGCAUUGCUAGAGUAUGGGAGAGGGAAGUGGAAUUUCCGGUGUAGCGGUGAAAUGCGUUGAUAUCGGAAGGAACAUCAGUGGCGAAAGCGACUUCCUGGACCAAUACUGACGCUCAUGUGCGAAAGCGUGGGGAGCAAACAGG